AUCUUUCUAGUGUAAAAAACACAAAUGACUUCCAAUCAUUUAUUCUCGAUACCCGAGGUAAGAUA
rnacentral:tRNA from 1 species